rnacentral:lncRNA from 1 species
UUACCCCUUGCUUGGAGUUCAAGUCAACAUUUUGGACUCUGGAAUAGCAAUCGGUGUCUUCAUCUCUCACAAGCUCAUCGAUGGAAGAACGGCAUACUGUUUUCUCAAGUCCUGGGGUGCUGUUUUUCGAGGGUGUCGUGAAGAUGUCAUACAUCCUAGUCUCUCUGAAGCAGCAUUGCUUUUCCCACCGAGAGAUGACUUGCCUGAAAAGUAUGCCGGUCAGAUGGAAGGGUUAUGGUUUGCCGGAAAGAAUGUUGCUACAAGGAGAUUUGUAUUUGGUGCGAAAGUCAUAUCUUCAAUUCAAGAUGAAGCGAAGAGCGAGUCCGUGCCCAAGCCAUCACGAGUUCAGGCCGUCACUGGUUUUCUCUGGAAACAUCUAAUCGCUGCUUCUCGGGCACUAACAUCAGGUAAAAUCAGUUUAUCAACAAGCCAAAUAAUAAAGCCUAAUGUAUUUGGGGUACUUAUUUAUAUAUUUUUAUUACGUAUAUCUAGUGUACUGUGUACAUAGCUCAAAGAAUGAGAAAAUAUAUGAACUUGCAGGUACUACUUCAACAAAACUUUCUAUAGCAGCCCAGGCAGUGAACAUAAGAUCACGGAUGAACAUGGAGACGGUGUUGGAUAAUGCCACUGGAAACUUGAUGUGGUGGGCACCGGCCAUACUACAGCCAAGUCAUACAACACCAGAGAUUAGUGAUCUUAAGCUGUGUGACUUGGUUAACUUGCUCAAUGGAUCUGUCAAACAAUGUAACGGUGAUUACUUUGAGACUUUCAAGGGUAAAGAGGGAUAUGGAAGAAUGUGUGAGUAUCUAGAUUUUCAGAGGACUAUGAGUUCUAUGGAACCAGCACCAGAGAUUUAUUUAUUCUCGAGCUGGACUAAUUUUUUCAAUGCACUUGAUUUUGGAUGGGGGAGGACAUCAUGGAUUGGAGUUACGGGAAAAAUUGAAUCUGCAUUUUGCAAUUCCACAAUGUUGGUUCCAACACAAUGCGAUAAUGGAAUUGAAGCAUGGGUGAAUCUAGAAGAAGAGAAAAUGGCUAUGCUAGAACAAGAUCCCCAGUUUCUAGCGGUAGCAUCUCCAAACCCCCCAAUUUCAAGGUGUUGAUUAAAAAAGAUUAUGUGGCUCGUGCAAUGUUUCGAUUUUGUAGUGAAUAAGGUUUAAAUUAGUUCACCAGCCAAUCAAUAAGAUGCAAGUAUGAUAGACUCUGUCUACGUAUGUUAUCCGAAUGUGUUUUCGAUAUGCUUGUAACCAAUAUAGCUCUUGUUUGUAAUAAUGCUCUGUUAAGCUUCUAUCUAUAAAGUUAUUUCUCUUGAUUAAAGAAAAAACUAUACAAGUUUUGUUAAGCUUUAUUCUAUUUUUAAGAUAGGAUGUAUGUAGUACCUAUAAAGAUGGUUCACCUAUUAUUAUUUUCAAAUACAUGAUUAUCCGGUACAAUUACGUAGAAUAUUUCUAUAGCUAAAAAAAUGUAAUUUUGAUCCGUGACAACAUGAUUAAAAAAUUACAUAUUCUGAUACAUUUGUUCUCUAACGACAAGCAUGGCCAUAAUGCCUCACCUGAUCAUCUAUGUGAUGGGGUAGUGUCCUUUCUUUUUAAGAGAAGGUAGGCACCUAAUGUGAAGGCCUCUACGAGAGACUAAUAUUGUCUGAUCUUCUUUUGUUCAUCAAAUUAAAGAAACGAAAAUGGCCACAAUGCCUCACUAUUGAUAGAAGAUAGAACCAUACAAUAAUUUGGAACAUAUGCAUGGAGACAAGGAAAUAUAACACAAUAAAACCAUUAUAAUUUCACUUUAUGUGGGAAACUUGGCCAAAACCGAAUCACAUCCACGUUGGCAACAAAAAGUGACUGGAAAAAAAGAGCCCCCAAAAAGCUAAAACACUAUAAAAACCAGAAAACUUGAAUAAGCGAAAAACCAAAAGUAUGACAUUUACACACACACUCUAUCUCUCUCUCAAAGUCUGAAAACUUGCGCAAUAAGGUACCUAGCUCUCUGGUCUUUUCUUUCUAAUGCAUAUAAGUCCCUGUAAAUUUUAUGGCUUUUGGAAUGAUGAUUUUAUGCUUGUGGAUCUCAGAUGGGUUUGUUUUGUUUUGGGAUUUUUAUAAAUGAAUCCAUUGAAAAUGUUGAAAGCUUAUGCCUUUGUUCCUUGGUUCACUGUUCUGGUUUUGUAAAUUGUGUGUACGAGAGUUGAAAUGUUGGUUUUGGUAAAGAGAAAUGUUCUAUAACCAUGUAAGUUAUCUUCUAAAGUUGUUCGAGUACUGCAUAGGAAAUAACGACCUAAACUGCUAGAUGCUCUGAGAAACUUAAUUAUCCGAUUCGUUGUGAUAAAUUAAUAGAACCAUCAAUAGCCGUGAUAGUCCCUUAAUAUUUGGUGGCUAAUUAGCAAUGCAUUCAUGGUAGUUGCAUGUGCUUAUUUUGUGCAGUAUUCUAAUUCUAUCACUUGCAAAAUCGUUGUGGAAGGUCAAGAGGAGAAAACUGAAAAUGGGGCAGCAUGCAUCUCAUUUUAUUUUUUUAUGCAAUAGAGCCCUAUAUAUAAAAUAAAUAAUGUAUCUAUAACCUUCUCUAAUUAAUUUACUUAGUAAUUGACGCAAUUUGGCCGAACUGUUUCUAAACACACUAAGCUUCAGUUCUAUAUAUACCACGUACCACAUGUAUGAAUUCAUCAAGUGUCUGAUAAUACUAAACCUACUUCGACAAAAUGGAGAAAAUUGAGGUCAGUAUAAUUUCCAAACACACCAUCAAACCAUCAGCUUCCACUCCACGACUUCAGCCUUACAAGCUUACCCUCCUGGACCAGCUCACUCCUGCAAUGUAUGUCCCCAUGGUAUUCUUCUACCCCAUUACUGAUCCUGUCUUCAAUCUUCCUCAAACCCUAGCUGACUUAAGACAAGCCCUUUCCGAGACUCUCACUUUGUACUAUCCACUCUCUGGAAGGGUAAAAAACAACCUAUACAUCGAUGAUUUUGAAGAGGGUGUCCCAUACCUUGAGGCUCGAGUGAAUUGUGACAUAACUGAUUUCCUAAUGCUUCGGAAAAUCGAGUGCCUAAAUGAGUUUGUUCCAAUAAAAACAUUUAGUAUGGAAGCAAUAUCUGAUGAGCGUUACCCUUUGCUUGGAGUUCAAGUCAACAUUUUCGACUCUGGAAUAGCAAUCGGUGUCUCCGGCUCUCACAAGCUCAUUGAUGGAAGAACGGCAGACUGUUUUCUCAAGUCCUGGGGUGCUGUUUUUCGAGGGUGUCGUGAAGAUAUCAUACAUCCUUGUCUCUCUGAAGCAGCAUUGCUUUUCCCACCGAGAGAUGACCUGCCUGAAAAGUAUAUAGCUUUGAUGGAAGGGUUACGGUUUGCCGGAAAAAAAGUUUCUACGAGGAGAUUCGUAUUUGAUGCGAAAACCAUAUCUGCAAUUCAAGAUGAAGCGAAGAGCGAGUCCGUGCCCAAGCCAUCACGAGUUCAGGCCGUCACUGGUUUUCUCUGGAAACAUCUAAUCGUUGCUUCUCGGGCACUAACAUCAGGUAAAAUUAGUUUAUCAACAAGCCAAAUAAUAAAGCCUAAUGUAUUUGGGGUACUUAUUUAUAUAUUUUUAUUACGUAUAGCUAGUGUACUGUGUACAUAGCUCAAAGAAUGAGAAAAUAUAUGAACUUGCAGGUACUACUUCAACAAAACUUUCUAUAGCAGCCCAGGCAGUGAACAUAAGAUCACGGAUGAACAUGGAGACGGUGUUGGAUAAUGCCACUGGAAACUUGAUGUGGUGGGCACCGGCCAUACUAGAGCUAAGUCAUACAACACCAGAGAUUAGUGAUCUUAAGCUGUGUGACUUGGUUAACUUGCUCAAUGGAUCUGUCAAACAAUGUAACGAUGAUUACUUUGAGACUUUCAAGGGUAAAGAGGGAUAUGAAAGCAUGUGUGAGUAUCUAGAUUUUCAGAGGAUUAUGAGUUCUAUAGAACCAACACCAGAGAUUUAUACAUUCUCGAGCUGGACCAGUUUUUUCAACCAACUUGAUUUUGGAUGGGGGAGGUCAUCUUGGAUUGGAGUUACAGGAAAAAUUGAAUCUGCAUAUUGCAAUUCCACAGUGUUGGUUCCAACACAAUGCGAUACUGGAAUUGAAGCGUGGGUAAGUCUAGAAGAAGAGAAAAUGGCUACGCUAAAACAAGAUCCCCAGUUUCUAGCGGCAGCAUCUCCAAACCCCCCAGUUUCAAGGUGUUGAUUAAAAAAGAUUAUGUGGCUCGUGCAAUGUUUCUAUUUUGCAGUGAAUAAGGUUUAAAUUAGUUCACCCGUCGAUCAAUAAGAUGCAAGUAUGAUAGAUAUGUUAUUCGAAUGUGUUUCGAUAUGGUUGUAACCAAUUAAUAUAGCUCUUGUUUGUAACAAUGCUCUAUUAAGCUUCUAUCUAUAAAGUUAUUUCUCUAUUAAAAAAAAAACUAUGGAAGUGUUACCAAGCUUUGUUCUGUUUCAAAGGUAAGAUGCAUAUACUACCCGAAAAUAAUGUUCACCUAUCAUAAUUCUUCCACAUGAAAACCCGGUAAGAAUCACAUAAAAUAUUUCUAAUACUUUAGAAUCUAAUUUGGGUUUGUGACAACAUAAUUGAAGAGGUACAUAUUCUGAUACAUUCGUUAUUUAACGACAAGCAUGUACAUAAUACCUAACCUAGGAGGAGGGUGUACGUAGUGUUCUCUCUCCUUAAGAAGGCCUGCCUUUCGCGAAGGCCUCUUUCAAAGGACUGAUAUAAUAUAAUCUUCUUCUUUUUUUAAUCAAAAGAAACGAAAAUGGCUUCAUUGUUCAUAAUUUGGAAUAUAUGGUGGAUUGUACGGUGUUGUUUUGAGGGAGCUUCUCUCUCGGGUCAAGGGUUUCCAAUGGAUUUGUGCAAUGAGAUUUGAUUGGCAACAGUUAUUCGGGCAUCAACGCUCCAAUUUAGCACUCCUCAGUCCUCACUACCUCAUUGUUGUUGACGAUGGCGAUGACGACAUUAGCGAGCAUGGGUGAUGUGUGUGGCAUAUUUGUUUGUAUUGUUGCAUUAUUGCUUUCGGAUGUAAGGGCUUCGCCCUAUAGAUUAGCGAGCAAUUGGUCUCCUCUCAUUCUUUCUACCUUGAUCGAGUUGGAGAUCCAUGCACUUUAUUUGUAGUACUUUUUUUGGCCUCGCGUUUGCAAGCUUUGAAAUUCCCGUGAUUAAGGAAUUAUUCAUUUUUUACAAAAAAAAAGAAGAAGAUUUUUUCCUGAAAAAUAACACAACAACCAUCAUAAUUUCACUUUAUGUGGGAAAUUUAGCCAAAUCCGAAUCACAUCCACGUCGGCAACAGAGAGUGACUUGAAAGAAGUGCACCCAGAAAGCUAAAAAACCAUAAAAACUAGAAAACUUGAAUAAGGAAAAACUAAAGUAUGACAUUCCAAUCUAUUGUUUUAUGGUUUUUGAAGGAUUCAAAUUUGUCAACCACUUUUUACUUGACCACCUUAAUGACCACUAUCUAGAUUGGUGAUACGUGUCUUUUCAAAUUAUUUUACUUUAUUGUUUUAUUGUUGAUAAAAAAAAUAAACAUGUGUCACCAAUCUAAAUAGUGGUCAUUGAGAUGAUCAAGUAAAAGUGGUUGACAAAUUUGAAUCCAUUUCUUAUUGCGGUUUUGUUCUGCCAAAUCCAAAUCCCAUGACCCAAUCAUUUACACUCCCUCUCAAUCUCUGCAAAACUGACUGCUUCCCUUGAAAACGUGCGCAAUAAGGUACCUAGCUCUCUGCCCUUUUCCUUGUAAUGCAUUCAAGUCCCUGUAAAUUUUGUGGUUUUUGGUAAUGAUUUUAUGCUUGUGGAUCUCAAAUGGGUUUGGGUUUGUUUUGUUUUGGGAUUUUUAUAAAUGAAUGCAUUGGAAAUGUUAAAGCUUAUGCGUUUGUUCCAUGAUUCAGUGUUCUGCAAUUUGUGCCUUCUCUUCCGGAUCUGAUGUACGUGAUGUUCUAGCUAGUUGUCUUUUGGAUUGAAAAGAUAUUAUCUUUUGAUUGUUUUUGAUAGAACAUCAACAUCAAUCAUCAAUGAGAUGAAUCUGAAGUAGGUUAUUAGUUUGGAGAUAUGUUAAUGGUUAAUGAAUCAAGCUGAAGUUGUUCUGGUUAUUGGAGCAAUAGGUUCCAUACUGAAGCAUCUAAUUUUGAAUUUGCAAAGAGUGGUUGACGAGUUAUCCUUGGGAUUGGCGGGUGACAUUGAAAAAGUCUUGGUUUUGUGUAUAAGAGUUGAAAUGUGAUUUCUUUACUGUUACCAUGAUGUGGGUUCUACUAAAAGACUCGUUCUUGAAUCUGGGGUCAUGUCCUGUGAUGACUCAAUUCUUGCAAAACACAACUGAGAUGUGUCAAAAUGGGUUCGGGAGCGUCUUUAUAUAUCGAAGUAUCAUGAGUUUCGAUACUAAGUGAGGGUGCUGGAUAGAAUUGAGUUUGGAGGUUCAAUGCUUCAAAAACAAAGAAGCUAGAGGGAACGUAAUUCUUGAUGAUUCAAGACGGAUCAAUGACCUUGUAAUUAAGUUGCUUAUGUGCAAUUGUUGAGCUUAUGGUGUUUCCAGUUUGGAUACGGAUAGCUAUUUCUGUUUUCAGUAUAACCACCAUGUGUUGCAUCCUCUUACUCUUCAUCUUCAUUUACCUAUCUUUGAUCUGAUGUUCCAUUGGCAGAGCUCCCUUAUGCUAAACUGUAAAACCUGCAUUCCAGGUGGUCAUUCUGUUAGAACUUUGGAAGGUCUCGGAAAGGAAACACUCGUCGACAAAUUUUGGGAGCAGUUGCAUAAAAGGAAUGGUCUCCCAACUCGGAGAUAAUGGAGACGCGUACUGGAAAUUCCCGUCCCAAUAAAAAGCAAUCGUCGGAGAAGUCUAAAUCUGCCACUGAAGAGAAAAGGCCUGCAGAAAAGAAGCAAACACUUCUGUGUUUGUCAACUAUGGUAAGUUCAUUAGAUAGUAAGUACUGAGUUUUCUAACAUCGGUGUAACACCAUGCAACUAACUCAGUACUGUAGAAUAGACAUCUAUGUUAGUCUCUUUAGAUAAUAUGCACACUUUAACUUUUCAAAUGACGUCCUGCAUUAGUUAGUCAACUGUUCAAAAUCUCGUAGGUUACAAUUUUCCCAUCUCCAAAACCAAGUGUCCAUAAUCUUUUUCCCUCUUUGUUCACUAAACUAGUAAACUCCUCGUUUAGAUUAAUGUUCUAAAUCUUUUAGUUUUUGUUCCAUCUUGACAUAACUUGUGGCUCAUUACCUACGUUGCAUGGAAUCGGAAGCGGAAACGUGGAAGCGAAGCGUUUGGAAGCGCGGAAGCGAUUUUUUUGAAAAUAAUUUGGAAGCGAAAGCGUUUUAGAAAUGUGAGAAUCAAAAUAAUAUAUACAAAUAACAAAUAUAUAUCACCUAAUUUUAAUUUCAUUCAUUUAUUUUAAUCGUUAAUUUUAAUAAGUUGUACAAAUUAGUUUGAUUGUUUAGCAGAUAACAACUCAUUCUUAAAAAAAAAAGAUAUCACUAAACCUUAUAAAAAUAAACUUCUUCACUAAAAAAAAGUCCACCAUGAAAUAUUGAAAGCACACGUCUCUCUAAUCUCUACACCUUUUAAUCUUCUUUCUUCACCUCUCUAUGCUCUCUCACCCUCCAGGUUGCCGUCAUCUUCUUUAACUUCAUUCUCUCUCACUCCUCUCCCUCCCUCCAGUUUCAAAUCCUUUCUUAACAGGUCCUCAAGCAGAAGAUCUGAUUGAUUAUAGAUUUCGAAAGAGAUAGAGAGAAGAUUGAUGUGCCGCUGAAUCAGUUCUCGUGCAGUGGACCAUCGCGCUUCCAAAUCAAAAUCGUGAGCUUCCAUAUUGGAAGCAUGCGCUUCCGUCGUGCUUCCAAAACCCUCUUUUCCCGGAAUCACGAUUCCGGGCGCUUCCGAGCGCUUCCACGGCGUUUCCGCUUCGCUUCCGCUUCGGAAGCGGGCGAGUGGCCCGGCGCUUCCGUGCUUCCUAGCUCAUUACUGCCCUGUAAACCAACUACGGCCGAGUUGUACCAAAAGGAAAUUCGGCCUCUCAUCAAUGAGUAAAGGUUUUUUUUUUUUUUUUCUUCCUUUUGUGGGGGAAGAAGAAGUAUGCAAUAAUUUUGGAAGUAACAUAUCCCCUAUCACCAUUCCUUGCAACAAGCAAUUACUUCUGGCAUUUUGUGGUUGAUGUUGAUCAUUUUGUAACUUUUGUUCUUUCAUGAUAAUAAAGCUAAUUUCUCAUGUAGCUGCAAUUGCUUGGCAUGAGAGUAGAAGAAAGUGGAUAGGGGAUCAGCGGCUGCAAAGAAUGGCCAAGGAUCCAAUUAUAAGGUAUUUUUUCCUCACAAAGGUUCCUGGAUAGAAUGGGGUUAGCAAGUCAUGGUUAAAGAGUUGCACCUUAAAGUUUAAUAACAAAAGAAAAGUUGGAGAGCAUAACUGCCAUAACUUAUAUUCUUUGUAGGUACAAAUGAACUCAUUAACACUGGUGUGUCAGUUUUUAGGAAAUUACACUUAUAUUUGAGUAUCUGUCACUCUGUCCACUACUUGCACCCUGACUUGCUGAUCUGUAAAUCCUAGAUUUUUCAAAAUUGCUCCUUUAGUCCUUUUGUUUGGUGUGUGUCCAUAUUAGUAGCUUUGUCCAUUUAUGCUGUUAAAUUGUAGCUGCUAUAUGAAUGUCAGGAAGUUAAAUGUGAAAACUAUAUGCUGCAUAUUAUAGCACCAUUGUAAUGAUUGAUGAUAUUAGUGUCUUUGUCCAAUUAUUUUCUGUUCAAUUAUUGCUACUUCUUGAAGAUAAUGUGGAAAGUUUAUGUUUCAGCUGGUCAACAGCCUAUGAGGAUCUACUCUCAACCAAUGAGUGUUUUUCUGAGCCGAUCCCCUUAACUGUAAGUCGAUCAUAUAAUAGCACAUACCUGUCCAAUAAAUAUCUUCUGAUAAGUCAUAUAUCUCUAUUACUUGUGUUUAUUUGACAUUGGAAAUAUUUUCUAAAGUUUGAUGUUUUUAUAAAAUUGGUUUUAAGCAUGUUUUCAUACUGGAGCUCCACUUUAUGUUUUCAAAAGUCAUGGGUAGUUUUCUUGAGCAGCGAGGACGAAAACUCAUCCCUACAACAGUUUGUGGAUGCAUGUAUUGUGCACUGGGACAAGAUAAUGGCGAGGAGUUGGGUGUGCAUGUUUGUGAUCGGUAAUUUAUUUUCUAUGCUUACAUGUUUAUUUUUAGACUCAAGUUACAUGUUUAAAUUGUAUUCUGUUGGCCUUGUUAUAAUCUCAUCCGUGAUUCUAUUAAUGAAGCUUGUUAAUUACUGGCCAUUCCUUAUAUCAAGUUUUAUACGAACAUAAGAGUCUAAUCCUGAUAUGAUUUUGUCUUGUGAGACUCUCAUUGCAAUUUGUAUUCUUUUGAGUUCAUUAUUUCUUAACGUUUAUUGUGUUAGGUUUUAGACGAAUGACUUUACCUUAAGCAAAUUAAAUAUUUUUCUUUUACAUACACCUCAAAUAGUUUUACGCUUCCGUGGUGUUUGCUUAAAUGAUUUCUUAAAUAAACUGUCUUGCGUUUCUCUUGGUUUUUAUUUUAGAGACAUGCGGCACUGUGACGUGUCUAAACUAAGGAGGCGUAGUUUGGGGCGUUACAGAUUUAAUCUUUACACACUAUGAGAAUAUCAAAAUAUCACGAUAUUUGUGCAAAACUCACGAAAUCUUGUUAUUAAAUCAGCCGAAGUCAUCAUAUAUAGUCAUUAACUCGGGCCAAACUUAUAAAAUUAACACUAAAGUCUUGGCGCAGCUAACAUGAUUUGAACCCAGGUUGCCACAUGUUUGUAACAUCCUGAAAUUUCAAAUUUUUAUUUUUAAAAGGAAAGUUAUUUUUAUUUCGAUUUCUAUUAUUCUUUUAAAUUCUUUAUAGUUUUUGAAAAUUAUUCAAAUUUUGUUUUUGGAGCCCAUCGGAUUAAACUAGAGGCCGUGAUGAAUUUGUGGGAUUUUUCGGAACACCGUUUGGAUAUCGGAUAUAUUUUUAAUGAUUUUUAGAAGUUGGUAUUAUCUAAAAAUUUAAUUAAAAAUAGAAAAUCAAGGUCGGUCAAAUUUGGUCCGUCCAGAUUAUAUGGGUAUGGAUCAACUUGGACUUCAUUAUACCCAGUCCCAGACCGACUCCGUCUCCAGCCUCUAUCAGCGACGGAGACCUCCGGUCACUCCUCCGUUGUCCGGCCGUCUCCCGCCGCAAAACGACUGUCUACAGCUCUGUCUCGACGUCCCCGACCUCCCUGGGAUUCCAGCUUGAUGAGUGGAGCUCCGGAAAAGGAGGAGAGAAGGCGACUGUGUUUCCGAUCGGGUUUCCGAUUCCGGUGACGGCGGCGAGCGUGAAUGGUACUGGAAGCAUCCUCUCGUCCUCGUGGUCUUCCCUAUGUCCUCAGUUUCUUCAGAAGAGGUCGGGAGAGAGAGAUUCGAAGUGGAGAAGGAGAGGCUGGGUUCGCCGGCGAGUUUCCGAUUCCGGCCAAGUCGAGGUUUCUCACUGGUAUGAAUAGCUUCAUGUCGGUCUCGGGAACCUUUCCAUGUUGGUGGUUUUCGAAGAGAAGCUCGGAGGAGGGAGAAUCGAAGAGGAGAAGUUUCUGAAUUUUCCGGCGAGGGUUCGACGGAUUCCGGUGAAGCUUGAUGUCGACUCAGGUAUUAAAGUUGGUCUAUUCGAUGAGCUUUACAUGUUUCUAUAAUUGAAAUUGAGAUUGGUUGGGUGUUGGAGAAGUGGGAUUUUGGACAGGUUGUCGACCACCGUGUACGGCGGCGGCGGCGGUUGUUCUUGUAGUUUCUGGCUUUUGUUAAUACAUUGAUUGUGGAGGAGUGUUUUGAGAUGUAUUAGAAUUGCAGGAACAUGAGAAUUGUAUGAAGUUGGGUUUUGAGCAGUGUGGUGUGUGGCCACUGUUCACGGCGGCUAUGGUGGUGUUUUGAAAUCAGAAGACUUGUGUGAGGGAGAGGUUGAAGAUGUGUAUUAUGUUUGGUAUGAGUGUUCAUUCAAUUGGCUUUGGUAUUUGAGAGCAGGGUGCUACGAAUAUCUUGGUUUUGUGAUCAAAGUUGAAGUAAAGCAUAUAUGUUUGUAUGGUUGUGAGAUAUGGUGGUAACUGCAGCAAUGGAUAGUUGAUCAAGGUUCACAUGAUCUUGGAACAAAUGUCCAGUCGAUAACUUUAAGAUGUAAUUGGUAUUGCUAUGCUUGAACAAUUGUGUUUCGGUGGAUUGAAGAUUUGCCGGAAGGUGUGUAGUAAGAUGGGUGUCCAAAGUAAUUGAUGGAGACUGGUGUGUUCUCUUUUGAAUUAUUGUUAGAGAAAGAUGAUUAGAGGAGUUGGGUGUAAUGAACGUUAAGUUGGCUUUGCUGGGUUGUUGUGGAGUCUUAAGAGCAGUAUGGGUACGGGAACAGAAGAAUUGGAUUUUCAUUACUUUCAUAUGGAUUUGAUGUGUUGCUGGGGAGUAGGAAACAGUAAAGGAUUUAGGUUUGGUCAUGUCUGGGUUCGUUGAUAAGUUGUUAUGCCUACAAUUAAGACAUGAGAAGAUUGAUCAAGUUUGAGAUAGGCAAAUAUAAAGGAUUUAGUAGAAAAGAGGAAUUGGGUGUAGAGAGUAAAUUCGGUGCUUAGCUUGGUGCUUGGAGCAUGGUUGGGAUACGACUAAUUAUGGGUGGCGUGUGAUUUGGUAAUUGUCGGAAAAGGUGAGCGGAAUUGGAAAUAAAGAUUUUGAUCGUUUCUAAUUAAAGUGUUUGCCGACUUUAUUGGAACAAGGAUUUGAUGUGAGGGAGCAUGUUGCAAUCCGAGGAGCAGAAUGAUAAGGAUUUCAAAAUGCGUGCCGCGGUGUUAUUAAUUUUAGUAAGCGUCGGAGUCAAGGCUUGGAUUCCAGGUAGGGUCUCUCUCAGGGAACUUUUCUUUAAAUUGAUAAUUAGGUUAUUGUUGAAAUCGGUGCAUUGUGUGGCAUUGGUUGAUAUAACUCUUGGUUGUUAUCGAUUUUGUUAAAAGCAUGUGAUAUCGUUGAUUUAUAUGAAAUUAAUGUUAUUGCUUUCCGUAAAAGCAUGAGUUGAAUGUUAUGAUAUGAGUAUUGAUAUUCAAUUGACAUGCAUAAUGCAUUGUGAGGAAUUGUGAGAAGUGAGAUUGGUGAUUCUGGAGAUGAGAAAGAGAUUGAUAGAAUAGAUACAUUUUGUGUAGUUGAGUUUCCUCAUGGGUUGUCCAAGAUCCAGGGUAGUCCACACGUGCAUAAGUUCAGGGAAUGUAUGCCAUUUCGAUGGCGGACAUCGACAAAACAAUUUUAUCGGGUUUCGGGUUUGGAGACCAUGAGUAUAACAAGAUGAUUAACAAUAGAGGUACAAGCCAUAAGAUAUUACUGAUUAUUAGAUCAUAUAUUUGAGACAUUUGUGUCACCCCCGGUUGGUAAAAUACACGGUAUGGGACGUGUAGGCUCACAUAUCUUUGAUGUAUGGACUGAUAGCCAGUAAUUGAGGAAGACAUUCAUUAGCAUACAUGUAUCAAAUUGUCGUUAUUUAUUUAAAGUAUUAUUUGAUGUUUGAUAACUUGUUUGUGCGAUGUAGUUAAUUAUAACUUAAAAAGGUUUGGCUCUUUGGCCCUACUAAGCGUAAGCUCACCCCUAUAAACUUUUGUUCAGGUACGUUUGAGGACACGUUUUUCUAGAAGCGUAACUGUGAAGUUUAGCUGACGUGUACGAGAGUAGAAGAGUUACAGAAGAUUAGAAGUCAGAUAGAUCGUAAGGGCUUAUCUUUUUGUCUUUGUAAUUGUUUUUUGUUAUUGUAAACGUUUUAUUUUCUUUUAUUUCUGGAAAAGUAUUUGAAAUUGUUUUAUUUUCUUUUACUUUUCCCGCUCAUGUCUCGGGUACGGCGUCAGGUGCUUGGAAACCACCGACACCGGGUCCGGGGUUUGAUGUAUGGACUAGCCAGUAAUUGAGGAAGACAUUCAUUAGCAUACAUGUAUCAAAUUGUCGUUAUUUAUUUAAAGUAUUAUUUGAUGUUUGAUCACUUGUUUGUGCGAUGUAGUUAAGUAUAACCUAAAAAGGUUUGGCUCUACUGAGUGUAAGCUCAUCCCUAUAGAUUUUUGUUUAGGUACGUUUGAGGAUACGUAUUUCUAGAAGCGUAACUGUGAAGUUUAGCUGACGUGUACGAGAGUAAAAGAGUUACGGAAGAUUAGAAGUCAGAUAGAUUGUAAGGGCUCAUCUUUUUGUCUUUGUAAUUGUUUUUUGUUAUUGUAAACGUUUUAUUUUCUUUUAUUUCUGGAAAAGUAUUUGAAAUUGUUUUAUUUUCUUUUAUUUUUUCCGCUCACGUCUUGGGUACGGCAUCAGGUGCUUGGAAAUCACCGACACCGGAUCCGGGGUGUGACAAUGGUAUAUCUCACAUUCUCAACCAAUCCUCCUAAGGUGAUACUUGAUUACUACAUUGAACAUUUUAUUAUAAACUCUACAUAUAUUUUCAUACUUUUAAAAUUUCUUUUCGAAAUUUUAUUAAUAUUGAUAUUUUCUAAUAUUUUUAUCAAAAUAUCUAUUUUUCAGAUAGUCAAAAUUUUCUUGAAACGUGAUAUUUUUGUAAUAUAUCGAAAUUUCAAAUUUUUAUUUUUAAAAGAAAAAUUAUUUCCGAGCUAUUUUUAUUUCGAUUUCUAUUAUUUCUUUCAAUUCUUUGUAGCUUUCGAAAAUUAUUUCAAUUUUUAGUUUGUCAAAAUUUAUCUUUUGAGUCCAUAGGAUUAACGGAAGCGUUUUCGGACAUCGGAGCUAUUUUUAAUAAUUUUUAGAAGUUAAUAUCGUCUAAAAAAAAAAUAUUUUUAAACCCGCUUGAUCUGGACCGUUGGAUCAUUUAAACCGCAAGAUCUGGGCUGGGGGAGACUGGAUCAGAUCAGUUCAGACCCAGACUGGGUCAGCCUCGAUCCAAAUAGCAGCGACGGGUGACCGGACUGCCGCUUUGUCCUCCAGCGACGGCGUGGGGAAAUCAUGGCAGCUUCGGCUUCGUCUCGGUCGCCUGAUCCUAUCUGUGGUCUCGAUUUCGUCGAUGGAGCUUCGAUGAGAGAGAAUCGAAGAAGGGUAGCUUUUUCUGGGUUUGUCGACGAGUUUACUAUUUCAGCCACGGCGGCGAGCAUGAUCGGUCUUGGUAGCUUCACCUCGACCUGUUGAACAUUUCUUUGAAGAGAAGGUCGGAGGAGGGAGAAUCGAAGAGAAGAAGUUUUUAGGUUUUAGGCAGUGUUCUUGGUGUUUUCCGGCGACCUCGGACUUCAAUUCAGGUAUCAAAGUUGGUCGACUCGUCAAGCCCUACAUCUCUAUAUAAUUGGUUUUCAUUUUUGAUUAAGUUUUGAAGAAUCGAAGUUUUGGGGUUUUACUGUGCAAUUUGAGUUUUCCUGUUUGUGUGGUGAUUUUGGUUGCCUUGGGGCGUUCUUCGAUUGGAAUUGACUUUAUGAAGUUGAUUUGAUGAUCUUAAGCCCUUGAAUUACAUAAUUGGAAAAGUUGGGUUUUGGGGCAGUGUUGUUCGGCGAUGGAAGUGGUGGUUGAUGGUUCUGGGUUUGGUUUAUGUUUUAGAUGAAAUUACAAGAGCAUUAGAACUUAAUUAUGUUGUUGUGUCGCCUGGAUUCCAUAAACGGAGAAGUUGAGUGUAAGAAAAUUAGAGUUAUGCAAUUUGGAAUUGAGCUAAGAUUGGAGUAGAUGAUAGUAUCGGGUUUUCUGCUGAUUUUGGUUUAUUGUUUGUGGUGGUGACUGCAGUAUUCUUGUUCCAUUUCCAAUCAUAUGAAAGUGCAGGAACAUGAAUUUGGAUGCUUGAUUGGUAAAAGAUGAGUUUUGGGUGGUAGGAAAUGGAGCUGUGUUAUUGGAAUAGGGAGGGGAAGAUGGUUGUGUAUAGUACUAAUACUGAACUUGGCGGAGUUGAAGGAUGCAACUAAGAACUGUUGAUUUGCGAUAUGGAACUAGGAGCUUGAUUUCAAAUGGAGAAAGUGAGUAUUGGCAAGUGCAGGAGUAGGACAACUUGAGAAGUAUAAAUUGGCUAAAGAGCUUAUGGGUGUCCUUAUCAAUUUCAAAGACUGGAUUGCAUCGACUUGAAAUCAUCAGAGUGAAUAAAUGCGGAUUAAGGAACUCAUCUGGGUGUCUUAGUAGAUUUAUGAAUUCGGUCCGGUUGACUUAAAGUGACUUAAAUUUGGCUUAAAGUGAGUUUUGCGGAUUAAGGAUUCAGGGUGUCCUUAGUAAUUUUAAGAACAUGAUCAAUUUUGGAAAUUGAUUUAGUUUAUUUGAGGUUCGACGGCUUUCUCGGUAAGGAAUUGUGACGAGGAUCGAGUGACUAUCGACUUUUUCAGAAGCAGAAGGAUAAAGAUUUCAGAAUGCGUGUCGCUGAGUUAUUAGUUUUAAUUAGCGUCAGAACUAGCGCUCGGAUUUCAGGUAUGGUCUUUCUUGGGGAACCUUUUUUUAAAUUGAUAAUUAGAUUGUUAUUGAAAUUGGUGAAUUGUUUGUCAUUGAGUGAUUAACUCUUGGAUGUUACUGCUUUCUAUAAAAGCAUGUGUAAUCGUUGAGUUAUAUGAUUGUUAUUAUCGCUUUUCUUAAAAAGUAUGUGUUGGAUGAUAUAAUAUGAGUAUUGUUAUUCGUUGCAUACAUAAUGCAUUUUGAAGAAUUAUGAGAUUAGUGAGAUUGGUGAUUAUGGAGAGGUGAGAACGAGAUCAAAAUAUACAUUUUGUACAGUUGAGUUUCCUUAUGGGUUGUCCAUAAAUCUAUGUCAUCCCACUUGCGCAAAUGAGUGGGCAAAGUAUACUCCUUCGAUGGCGGACAUCAAUAAAACGAUCUUUCGGGUUUCGGUUUUGGAGAGUAUGAGUAUAACAAGAUGACUAACAAAAGAGGUACAGGUGAUGAGAUAUUACUGAUUGUUAGAUCAUAUAUUCGAGACAUCUGAGUCACCCAUGGUUGGUAAAAUACACUGUAUGAGACGUGUAACUGAGGAAGACAUUCAUUAGCAUAUAUGCAUCUAAUUAUCGUUAUAUAUUUAAAGUAUUGUUUGAUACUUGAUAACUUGAUUGUGUGACGACAUAGUUAAAUGUAACUAAAGAGGUUUGGCCCUACUAAGCGUGAGCUCAUCCCUAUAUACUCUUAUUCAGGUUCAUACAAGGACACAUAUUUGUAGAAGACUAACUGUGACGUUUAGUUGACGUGAACGAGAGUCGAGAAGGACUACCGAAGUUUCUAGUGAGCUAAACAACAAGACUAGUUUUACCUUUAUAGUGAGCUAGACUGCAAGACUUGUUUUGUCUUUAUAAUCGGUUUUGUUUUUUGUAAUCGUUUUAUUUUCGACUAUUUCGAGAAAAAUAUUUAAAAUUAUUUUAUUUUCUUUUAUUUUUCCCGCUCACGCCUCGGAUUCGGUGUUAAGUGUUUGGAAACCACCGACACCGGGUCAGGGGUGUGACAAUUUUAGUCCUUGGUUUGAUGCCUAAGCUACUUCGCUCCUCCAAACUGGGCCGGUGUUGGAUCAAACAAACAGAAACUUGAAAGAAGGAGUCCGAUACAAGUCAUACAACUACGUUGGUCGGAGCGGAUUUUACGCAUCAAGGUGCCCUUGCACCAUUAAUCUGUAAGUUUUUAAAUCUUCGUAUGCAAAGAUUUAAUGAAGACUAGAGACCUUAAAUUCUUUUCUUUCAUUUUUAUUUUUGACCUGAUCAAAUUAAACGCCAAUAAUUAGAGUACCUCUUAUUCAAUCUCAUGUCCUCAUCUCUUGUGUUGAAAACACUUUUGAUUAUUUUUUUGAGUUUUAAUUUUGUUAAUGGUAUUAAAAUACAUGCAUGAUAAUGCGACAUAGAUGAUCGGAUCAAAACAUUGCGUAUUAAUUGCUCGAUUCACUUGUAGAAGAAUUUUCGAGCUUCGGGCCAAUAUUCCAUUUUUCUUUUUAAUAAAAAAUUCUAGCAGCUAGACAGCUAGUUAACCAAUUGUGAAGCUACACAACUGGGACUUGCAGCGGAAAACAACUACCACGCGUUGCAUGGAGAGGUUAGGUCCUGCAUGCAACUCCGCCGCCCGUAAAUCUCCUACUGACAGCUCUACCCCUCGAUUUGCAGAUACUGAUGUAAAACCCGAGGACAAAACGGUAAUCGUUGAUACUCCGAGCCAGACAUAAAACUAUCCAAGAACAAAGAGGAGACACCACAGGAAAAAUGACCGGACCGCCUCUACCUCGACCCUUUCUAACGUGCUUGGUUGGUGUAGCAGUCUUAACCUGCGCACUAACCUUCUGUGUUGCCCUAGAUGUCACCCCCCAAGACCCAAUCAUCCACCAAGUCACAGACCAUGAUACUAACAAGCUCCUUGGAACCGAGAAAGAGUUCAAGAGUUUCAUGGAGAAGUAUGAGAAGAAGUACCCUACUAGGAAGGAGUACAUGCACCGGCUAGUUGUUUUUUCCAAGAACAUGAUCAGAUCCGCCGAGCACCAAGCUCUGGAUCCGACGGCGGUUCACGGCGUCACGCCGUUCUCGGAUCUGGAGGAGGAGGAGUUCGAGAGGAUGUACACCAUUCCUCGAAAAGUUAAAGUAAUCUUUUUUAGAAAUCGAAUGGAUUCGGUCUUAUACAUACGCAAGGAAGGUAAUAAAAAAAAAGAAAGAUGAGUUCUUUUAUCACUUAGGAGCUGUGCGAGAUAAAAGUCUCAUGCACGGUUUUGAAUGAGAGAAAGAAGUGAGGAAUCCUUUUUUCGACACUGACUCUCCCACUCCAGUUGUUGCUUUUUUUUUCUUUUUUUUCUGUUACUUCAAAAGUCGUUGCUUCAGUUUCAGCCACUCGAAUUUUCGAUGUUCUUUUUUAUUUCUCAUCAAACGAAUGGCAUUUUCUUCCUAUUACUCAAACAAGCAUGAAACGUAUGCUUGCGUAUUCGUCCAUAGGUCAAAUUGGAUAUGUAAUUAUUGGAAUAAUUGUUGGAGACUCAAAUGGUGGAUAUGUAAGCAUGAUAACUUAUAUGUUGUUCUAUAUCUCUAUGAAUCUAGGAACUUUUGUUUGCAUUAUAUCAUUUGGUUAGAGGUGCGCCCGGCUUAACCAACGGCGGAGGCGGUACGGGGAGCACGGUUGAGCUUCUGGAUGUUAGCGGGUUGCCUGAGAGUUUUGAUUGGAGAGAGAAAAAGGAGCUGUUACUGAGGUCAAGAUGCAGGUAGUUUCUAAUUUUCGUUUUAUUUCUGAUUUUUUAGGUUGGACACACAAUAUAUGUGAUUAACAGUUUCGGCCGUACUUAAAUCCUAGCUUUUUGCAAAUCAAGUUAUGGCACAUACGAUAUAGAAGUCUCGUAGCUGGUUGUAAAUUACUAAAUUGUGUAAUCUGAAGUCGAUCAGCUGAUCAGGUGCUGCUGGUUCUUUUGUUUAAUUGAUUGUAUAACUAGCUUGACUUUGAGAGUUUGAAGUUUUGUACAGAAAGAUUUGUCUAAUAGAGCUAGGGUGUUUGUGGAACAUGGAAUUAUUCUUCAGGCAAGGAGUUGUAUUGUGAUACUUAAAGCCUCUAAAUCUCUUGUUAUGGAUGCAGGGUGGCUGUGGGUCGUGCUGGACCUUUAGCACAACGGGAGCUAUUGAAGGAGCCAAUUUCAUUGCCACUGGGAAGCUUGUUAGUCUCAGUGAACAGCAGCUUGUUGACUGUGAUCACCAGGUAAUUAAGCCUAGCCUCUCUGGAAUAUAUUGAAGUACUCAUUUAACUUUAGGGCGAUAAAAAUUUAAUUGAUUGAGCAUAUAUAUAAUAUUUGGCAUGCCUACUUAAUUAGUUUCGUUUAAUGUUUGUGGCAACUAUAAUCAAGUGUGAUGCAAAAGAGAAAGAUGCAUGUGAUCGUGGUUGUGGUGGCGGACUUAUGACAAAUGCCUACAAGUAUCUAAUGGAAGCAGGAGGGUUGCAAGACGAGGUUUCAUACCCUUAUACGGGGAAAAAGGGCGAAUGCAAAUUUAAUCCUGAAAAAGUAGCCGUGAGAGUAACCAAUUUCACCACUAUUCCCCUUGAUGAGAAUCAGAUUGCAGCGAACUUGGUCCACAAUGGUCCUCUUGCCAGUGAGUACUAAACCUGAUAAUAUGCUUAAAAAUAGCUAGGCUUUUUAUGUAUCUAUGUGUGCGUACAUAGAACUGCCUUAAGUGUCUUAUUUUCUGAAUAUGAUGUGCACUGUUUAGCAUAUUUAGAUCUGAGUGUAGAUACACCCCACUGAUACAGAAUCUUAAUUGAUGUAUGUAUGCGCAGUUGGCUUGAAUGCUAUGUUCAUGCAAACCUACAUUGGCGGUGUGUCAUGCCCUCUUGUUUGUUUCAAGAAAUGGGUGAACCACGGUGGUUCACUUGUUGGAUAUGGUGAGAGUGGCUUCUCGAUUCUCAGGCUCAGCAACAAGCCGUAUUGGAUCAUCAAGAAUUCAUGGAGCGCAAAAUGGGGAGAACAUGGUUAUUACCGACUUUGCCGAGGCCAUGGCAUGUGUGGGAUGAAUACCAUGGUGUCUGCAGUUGUGACCAGUACGCGGGCAUCCUAGCUGCAUCUCCCGAGAUUAGCUAGUAUAUAAUUAUACACUAUAAUAUUAUAUGCACCUCUCCCUUGUUUUUUCUUAAUCCGAAUUUGAUGUUCCUAUAAUCAUAUUUCAACAAUAUUAUUGUUAAUAUGCCGAAGUGGAAAGUCUUGUUUACGUCAAAACCAAUUCGAACUAUAUUUUGUUAGCUUUAAAUGCUAGAUUGUCAGACUUCAAAUUUAAGUCGGAAAAAUUUUACAAUAUGUUAAUGCAUGUUAUGCAUCAAUUUUAUCCUAAAAUUGUAAAAUGAGUCUCUAAAGUAGUAAUAUUAGUCCUUGAAGUUGUAAUAUAUACGAGUAGUUGUAAAUUUUAAAGUUACAACAUUAGUUAUCAUGUGUCCUUAAAGUAAAUUUUACAGUUACAACAUUAGUCAUUGUGUCUUUAAAGUGAUAAAAUGCGUGCUUAAAGUGGUAAUUGAAUCCUCAAAGUGAUUGAAAAAGUUUUUAUAUCUUUGAGGAUUUGUAUUACAACUUUGAGGAUUUGUAUUACAACUUUGAGGACUCAGUUACCUCUUUAAGGACACAUAAGGAUUAAUAUUGUAACUAAUUUUUUUACAACUUUAAAGACUUAUAUUACAACUUUAAGGACUAGCUAAUAUUACUACCGUAAGACUCGAUCAUUUUAUAACUUAAGAGCAAAGUUGAUACAUCACAUGCAUUUUUUUUUUAUUGGUUAAUGAUCGAGGAUAGGCGAAUAAUCACCUAUCACUCUAUGUUAUUAAUAAAAGAAAAAAGAAACAAAGGAGGGGGAUCAAAACCAAAACAUCCUAAAACAAAUGACAGACUAGCUGAAACGAAAUUGAGGCAUACCUCUAACAUCGUUAUUAUAAGACAAUAAUAUGAAAGGUGGAGGCUCAUCCCACCAUAUCAAUUCAGAGCAUGACGUACCUUGAUUUGCCAGAGCAUCAGCUAUCUUAUUCCCUUCACGAAAAAUAUGAGUAGCCUUGAAAUUCAUUUUAGAGAUUCGGUAUAAGCAAUUCAACCAACGAACUCGAAGAGGCCAAGGAACAAGAGAAGGUCUGCGAAUAUAAUCAAGUACCAAAGAUGAGUCAACUUCCAACCAAAUAUGCUUCCAAUCACGAACCCAAGCAAGCUCAAUAGCUUUAAUAACAGCCAUUAUCUCCGUUGAAAUUGAACUAGGAAUUUCAAGAUUAGAGGCAAAAAGCACCUAGAAAGUGGCCCUUGUAAUCUCUAAAAAUAGCACCAUAACCACCCACUCCCUCUUCAUGCUUCCAAGAGCCAUCAGAAUUUAUCUUCACCCACCCAAGAGAAGGAGGAAUCCAAUUAACUUCAACCACUCUAGGAGUGGCACGAGGUCGACAUGGGGCUCCAAAACAUUUCAAAAUUCGUAGCUCCUGGACACUGUUAUGCAUAUGACCCGUUGUAAGAUGACUAGUGGCUCUUAUAUGACUUGAUAUUAGCUUGCAAACAACUUCAACUGAAAAGCGACAACCAUCAAAUCUGGUUUUAUUUCUCACAUGCCAAACAAACCACAAAAUGGAGGUAAAGCAAAUAAGCCAUAAUUCCAUUAAUUGAGGACUUCUUCCAUUCUGCAAACCCAACCCAUAAAGCUCCAAAAUAGAAGAAGGAAUCAUACCUAACUCAAAAAUAGAGCCAAAGUGACAGAAGAGACGCCAACGGCACCAACACCCAAAGCCAAAGGUAAAGUGUUCGUCAAAGGACUCCACAAUUCCAAGAAUGCUUUCCAUGUGCUCGUGCAAUAAUGGUAAGGAUAUCGAGAGACGCCAACGGCACCAAAUAUUCCAGCUUGAUUCAAUACGCCUUCAAAAUUGGCUAAUAUGAAUUCUGUCCACUCCAUUACGCCUAUCUCAAGUGUAGCACAACCCCGGAAACAAAGGCUCGAAGACCAAUCUUGUUUGGUGUUUAGCAUCCUGUGAAGUAUCGGGUAAAAAUUCUCUUCGAAAGUGAAAAGACCUCCAUCAUGUCUGUUAUCAACCUUCUCCAAAGUAUGCCCCUUAAAUACAUGGGAAAAGUUGUGGGUUGUUCUUAUCACUUGAUCCUCCAAAUCUUGGCGAAAUGUAAGAAAGCCUGAGUUCAUUUCAACUUCUGUCACCAAGGUAAUGAUGUCUUUAGGAGGGACAUCAACAUGAAUGGAGCUUAAAGGCUGUGAUCUCACGUACUCUAUGCCCUUUCCAACAACCUGCCUGUGUUUGUCCAAAGCUGCCUCGCGGGAAAUUCGACCAUAUGCAUCCAUUACCUGAGAUUAUAGCACGCAGAGAUGUUAAAAGCAAGCAAUAGCAAGUCAAGCUUUGCGCGAGAAAAGCAAGUUCCACGUACAAAGCUUGAGGGGGCACUGUUGAUACCAAAAAAAAAGGAUUACAGAAAAGGAAAAAAAUAAAUAAAAUAAAUAAAUGGAAGAGUAUUUAUUCAUGUCAUACUCUUCCGUUGGUUUUGAUUACACGCACAAAGCUUUUGAGUUCAAUUACAACUCUUGCAAGCAGGUGCUUGGAUAAGAACAAAUCAGUACGAGCACCAGAGUUUGAUUGUAACUCAAUUAUCCUAACCAAGCACUCUAUAUAAAGAGGCCAAUACCUUCAAAAAAAAAAAAAAAANAANNNNNNNNNNNNNNNNNNNNAACACCAACGGGAGGAGGCAGGCGGGCAACAAGGAGGAUCACAAAGGAGCGGUUCAUUCUUUACAAGGUUCGGAUGGAGAGUUCUCUUUCUCUUUGCGCAGCUCUCUUUAUGUUCUGUUGAUGGAGGCAUCACUGCCUUCAUAUUCCUCGCAGAUGGCCUCUGGUGUUCUUGGUUACUAUUGUUCCUGGUCACCCAAAUCCCUUGCGGAUCGAUCUGGUUAUUAUAGUUACUGUGUUCUGUUGGUUACUUGGUUACUACUGUGUUCUCUUGGUUACUUGGUUACUCAAAUCCCUUGUGGAUCGUUCCUGGUUACUCGUUACUUGGUUACACAAAUCCCUUGCGGAUCGUUCCUGGUUACUUGUUACCCUAAACAUUGGUUACUGGAUACUAUGGUUACUGGAGACUAAUGGCUACUAUGGCAAUGGUUCUAUGUUACAAUGGUUAUAUGACACUAUGGUUACUAUGAUUCUGGUUCUAUGGCUACUGUAGCACUAUGGUUACAAUAUGGUUCUGGUUCUUUGGGUACUUUGACACUGGUUACUAUAACAGAUCGGUUGCCCUUUGAUCCUACAAAACCAAACACAAAACCAAUACUCAAAAUUCCACCACAAAAGGCCAUUGUUGUCCCUGUUCCCUGUUAACCACCACAGCCAAAUACCUUUCCAAAUUCCAUGUUUCAAGCACCAACUCAAAUACUGUGCAAUGAAACUAAAAGAGACAAUAACAGAGGCUUACCCUCAAACUAUGACAAUCGAUCUAUUCCGAUACUACAACUACUACCUGUGUUUCAUACCUUCAUGCUGUAGCAGGAAUGGUGAUGAUAUUGCAAAAAGAGAACAGCAAGUUCCUGUCAAGUUAACCUCACAAAAACAUCCGAGCAAAGAGAGUCAUUGAUUCUUUGGCUCUGUCCCUUUAAAAAAAACAAAGGGGGCUCGGUGAGUUUUCUCAUGAUUCUUCUCCAAUAUCACAAGAUGACAAGAAUCAAGCUUGGCGGUGACCCUCCCAAACAGAGAAGGCUUACUCAAACAUAAAUAUGCAUUCACCACCAUGGAGUAAAACAAAAGAAGCAAACUUAAUUAAACAAGUUUUGUUUCUGGAAGUUCCAAGGCAGCGAGCCGAAUACACCCACAGUCAAAUAAAUUGGAGCUAAGAAGUUUAGAGUCUCAAAGCAAAAGACGUGUUCUUCCUCAAAUUAAAGCCUGCAAAUUGAAGCCUGCAGCAAAAUUAACCUACUCGAAGCUAAGCUCAUCCAUUCGACGCUAAGCUAAUCUACUCGAAGUUAAGGAAGCGAAGGAUAAUUAAUUUUGCCAUUGAAGAAUUGUAACAAAGCACCUAUCCAACACAAGGCAGUAACCAAAUUGAACGCUACCUGUGAAGAAACAAGCUUUUGACCAGUGGGAAAUCCUUCGAAAUUACUCUGAAGCAUAAUGGAGAUACUUUCGUCAUGAGGGUAUUUGAAUUGUAGGGAUGAAAGCAGGAACACAAUAGGGGUUAUCCUUACCCAAUUUCGCACAGUGAGAAAGAGCACAGCAAAUCUCAAGCCUCCCAGUGUUGAUAAAUUUCUUCUCGGCGACUUAGGAGCACUGCCAUCACCAAGUCGGUUGCUGCGCCAACCCCUCUCCAUUUGAUCAGUUUCGGCCUUCAAGUUCUUCUGGGUUACAAUAAACAAGGCAGCAGAAGAUCAAAAGAAAGAAAAGAAAUGAAGAAUGGGGAGAGGGAAAGCUAACGGGCCUCCACAUUGACGGAUGCUACUCACAAGCAAGGCCCAUGUCAAAUUUGGGCCCAUCUGAAAAGUUCAACGAGGCUCAAUAUAUGGGUGUUCAAAUCAAAAUACCCAAACUUCGGUUUCGUUUAAAAAUUCUUCGGAACCCGAAUGAAGUUGCGUUUGGUACAAAACCAAGAAAUACUCAAAUACCCAAAUUUUUGAACUACAAUGGUUUGAUCCCUUCACAGGGUAUGUAGGCAGUCCAGAUUUAAAUCUGGAUAUAACCACAUUUAAAGCCAAAUCGUUGGUUCUUUCCAAGCCAAAUUCUAAAACACAUAACCAAACCUUUCGACAAGUCAUCUACUUCGUCGAAACCCCAAAAGCCAUAAAACUUGAACUACGAGUGACUUGAUCCCUUAUGGGGUACGUAGGCAGCCUGUAAAACAAAUCGGGUGCAGUCGCAAUUCCCCUCGAACACACAUUCCCCAUUUGUUACUUUGUAAUUAGAAUCAAAGGGUCUUCCCCCGAAAGCAAGGGUUGUAAUUAAGAAAUUUAUUUUAUUUCGAAUGGGUCGAACCAGACAUAAUUAAAACUCUAUUUUAAUCAAUGAGAUAGAGUGAAAUUGUGUUGGGUAUAUUUAUUUACAAUUUUUGCUCAACAUAGUUUUUGGCGACUUCACUGGGGACUCUCAACUGGUCAUCAGACAAAUAAAUGACGAGUAUGCAGUCAAAAAUGAGAACCUUAUAUCAUACUACCAAAGAGUUAAAUAUCUCCUGGGACAAUUUCGAGAGAUAUAUGUUGGCCACAUUCCAAGAUCAGAGAAUGAUAAAGCAGACGCAUUGGCUAACUUGGCAGCUUCUUUAGUACUUCCUGAAGAGAAAGACAUCCAAAUAACAGUUGGAGAACGUCGAUUGCAGUCCUACGUCACUUGAACGAAUGGAAGCUACCAAUGAAACAAAUGUAGUUUCUGUGUUCGAAACUGAGGAAGAAUCUGAUUGGCUCAAAUUGAUGCAGUGAACGAGCAAGAGAGGAAAGUAUGAUUCAAAGUCUCCGAGCAAACACCACAAAGCUCACAUCUAGAAACCCAAGGAAUACCUCGACGCUGAAGUAAAACAUCAGAAAUAACUCUACCUCUUAACACCUUCCAUGCUAGGAAAGACAUUCUUGGCAGAAUAUAUUUAGCCCAUAAUCUCUUACCCCAAAUUACUGGAUUAGAAGAAUGCCGCAUAAAAGUAUAGGCUUGUUUUGCGGUUAACUCAUCGGAGGCUGAAGAGGUCCAUAUAAGUUUGUCAUUAACUGAAGGAUCUUCUGACACAGGGACUUGAUUGAUCAUACCACAUAAGGCUGGGUAGUGCAACUGUAGUAAUGGAGGAAGAUUCCAUGAACCAUUGUCUAUAUAUUUUGACACCAAAUCCGAGUUAUCCUGCAUCAACACAUUAGAACCAAAGAACUCAUUUAUUGGCCUACCCAUAAACUUGUCGCGCCAAAAGUAAAUUCCAUUCCCAGAACCAAUGAACCAUUGAGAAUUAUCUUGAACAGUCUUCCAGAAUUGACGAACACCAGGCCAUAUAGAAGAAGGAGCAUAAGAUUUCCGUCUAGAGAAACGAUUGCGAAUAAAAGCACAACCCUCAGAUUGAGCUGUAUAGAUUUCCCAGCAACGUUUCAAUAAGAGAGAUCGAUUAAGCAGAACUAGUUGUUUGAGCCCCAAGCCACCUUCUGCAAUUGGGGAACAACAAGACUUCCAAGCCACAAGAGGGAUCCCUCUUUUAUCAAUUGAGCCAGACCACAGAAAGUUUCGGCACCAUACCUCAAUUUUUCGCACCACAGACACAGGCCAUUCAUAUACUUGAAAAAUGUAUACCAACAUGCUAAAAAUAACAGACUUGAUAAGCUGCAAACGUCCUGCCAUUGACAAAAAAGAACUCACCCAACUCGAUAACUUUAUCCUUAUUUUGUCAACAAUCUGAUGGAAAUAAGAAGCACGAGGUUUGCCAUGAAAAAUAAGGGCACCCAGAUACAUGAAUGGAGCAGACCCCAAGGGAAUACCCAAGAAGUUCGAAAUAGAAUGCCGCCUUGAAUGUAUACUAUUUCCAAUAAAAACCUGAGACUUCCCUUUGUUGAUAACUUGACCUGAAACUCUACCAUACUCAUCGAAGAACCGCAUAAUCCGCGAUAAAUUCCGCCUAUUGCCCCGAAAAAAAACAAUAACAUCAUCUGCAAAUAGGACAUGAGAUGGAGCAAGAGUAUUUCGUGGAGAAGAGAUACGCUGCAGUUGUCCCGAUGAAACAAGUAAAGAGAUCCCACGACUAAGGACUUCUUCUGCUAAGCAAAAGAGCAAGGGAGAAAGAGGGUCACCUUGACGCACACCCCUUUCACAAGAAAAAUACCCCACAGUCCUCCCAUUAAUCAACAGAGAAAGCUUGGCUGACAGAAGCAAGGCACGCACCCAUUGUACAAAGAUCGGAUCAAACCCAAAAGCCUGAAGAACAUGAAGAAGAAAAUCCCAUGACAGAGUAUCAAACGCCUUUGUAAUAUCAACCUUAAUUGCAAGGUUACCCCCCAUGACAUUUUGAGUUCAACAAAUUAAAGCACUCUGAAGUAGUUAAUAUACAGUCUGAUAUGUUCCUCCCUGCAACAAAAGCAUGCUGUUGAGGAGAAAUAAUACGAGAUGCCACUGAUGCCAACCGGAUAGCUAUGAUCUUUGGGAUAAUUUUAAACACAAAGUUGGUGAGGGCAAUAGGCGAAACUGCUUUAUGGAGUCGGCAUGAUCAACUUUGGGGAUUAAGAUGAUAAUACCUGAGUUAAAGGAAGGAGCCAAAUAACCAUGUUGAAAAAAUACUGAACAGCCUUAACAACAUCAGCACCAACAACAUCCCAGCAAGAGACGAAAAAAUGGCCAUUAAAUCCAUCUGGCCCCGGGGCACUAUCAGGAUCCAUUGAUUUGACAGCUGCCCAAAUUUCCUCUGAUAAUGGAACACUAGUAAGCAUCGUAUUUUCCUCAGGAGUUACCAUAGAGUGAAUCACUUUGGACACCAAGCCACUAUCUUCAUACUCUGCAUGUUUAGUAAAAAGAUUUUUGUAAUAAUCAACUAUAUGAUUUUGGAUAUAAUGAGGAUCCUGAAGCACCUGAUCUCCAUCACGAAGCAGAGUAAUAGAAGAACGAUUUCGGCGCACUUUACACAAAGCAUGAAAAUAAGAAGAAUUACGAUCACCUUCUGAUAACCAUCGCAACCUUGACUUCUCACGCCAAAGAAUUUCCUGAUGCAGAAUAGACUCAUUCAAAAUGGCCUGCAAUUCAGUCUCUUUUUCAAACUCUUCAUCUGAUCCCCCAGAAGCUGCAAUUUUAUUUUGAAUAUCAGCAAGGGCUGCAAGGUCAAACUCAACCCGACGGUGAACAUCCCCAAAGACCUCCCAGUUCCAAGUACGGAGAGAUUUCCUUAAGGUACGCAGCUUAUAUUGCAGGACAGAAUAAGGACAACCAAACGAAGUAGUAGAGGACCAACAUCCUUUGACAAAACUCAUAAAAUCCUUAUGCUCCAACCACAUUUUUCUAAACCGAAAGAGACUAAAACGAGACCCUGUAAACUUAGAAAAGGACAUUAGUAGUGGAUUAUGAUCAGAGCAAGUUCUGGGUAAGGUGCAACAGUCAAACUGAUCCCAUUCCUCCAUCCAAUUCAAAUUAGCAAGACUUCUAUCUAAUCUUAGCUCCACAUUACCACGAAAACCACGCCGUCUCACCCAUGUAAACUCUGCCUCUUUAGUAUCUACAUGAAUAAGUUCACAAACAUCUGACAUUGUCUGAAAUUCCUCACAUGAUCGCCGACAUAGAGGAGCACCUCCUUUCUUUUCAUGAGCACCAAGAACUGCGUUAAAAUCUCCAAAAACCAACCAUGGUCCUGUAACAAAACGACCUUUGAAAUCAGUAAUAUCUUCCCAUAACUUCCGGUGGCCAGAGAUUGUGGUACGAGCGUAGACAGCUGUAAGAAAACAGUUUACCGAAUCAAACAUAACUUGUAAAGAAACCUGCUGAUCCGAGGUAGACAACACCCGAAUCCAUGGAGCCAGAGAAGUCUUACAAAAAACCCAUAGAUUAGGUAAUGCAGAACCCCGGUCAUUUGCACCAACAAAUCGCAUGCCUAACGAACGCCAAAAGAAUAGAGGAAUUGAAGUCAAGGCAACGAAAGGCUCAGCUAUACAUAAAACUUCCAGGUUGUGAACCCGUACAAACUGUUUCAAAGCAUCUUGAGUGGGGACAUUAGCAAUGCCCCGUAUGUUCCAAUAAAGAACCCUCAUUUAGGAGUGUCUUUGGAGCGACGGAGAUAGGCUUCCCUAUUCUCCUUCGAAGCAGCCUUCCUCUUUUGAGACCUGGACAUAACAACAGUAAAACCAUCAUCAAUGUCAACUCGUUCUGUCUCCUCAUACCAGCUAUCAAUUCGAGUUACUGAAUUUGCAGCAACAGCAACCCCAAUGUCAGAAGACUGCUCAUGCAUACUACCACCGGCAGAGUCAUCUUCACUAUUCUGCUCGUUCUGAUCAAUUGCAUACCUAGUAUCAUCUUCUUGCUCAACCACAUUACCAUGGAUAGCUACUGGUACCAAAACCACAUUCACCCCCGGCUCAACCACUUCUUGGACAGGUGCCACCACUUCCACUAGCGGUUCCGGCACAACACUAGAUAUCACUAGUUGGCCGACCGGUGCUGGAGACUUCUGCACAAAGGAAGGACCCUCACCAAAAUCUUCCCUGGGGUUUGGAGUUGAAUCAAUAAUCAUGCUCUUACCUCGAUCUGCUGGAUUAGAUGGGUUUUUAGGCACAUACACUUUGGAGACUCGUUGCUGAUCACGGUUCCUGCGAGAUCGUCUACUACGCUUGCGCGAUCGACCUCUGCCUUUCUCAGUCUCAUUAUCCAUUGGAACCGGGUCAGAAGAUCUAUGCACAUACUUGCAAGCUGUGACAAGGUGCCCAACGUUGCCACAAUGAGCACAAAUAUGUGGAAGCUUCUCAUAAUCCACAGUCUGAACAAAAGACGAACCGCACUUACGCUUGACAACCAAUUCAUGCGGUGGAUCAACAGAGAGAUCAAUAUCAACCAAUAUUCUAGCAAAUAGGGUUCUAGGUUCCCAAAACUCAAGCCCUAGAUCCUAAAACCUCACCCACACCUGAGCAUUAGUAUUACGUUGAUUCGCUGGGGAGAAAUUUGGAACCCAUCGCAUGAAACGCAAGAAGCCAGGCUUGAGAGCAAUUGCACCCUUUACCCAGACUGUAGAGAGAUCCUCAUCCGUAGAGAAGCUAAACGUGAAAUAACCUUUUCCCAUGGGAAUAAUCUUCCAAGCCCCUAGACUUCCCCAAAGAAGAGAAAGCUUAUGAGACAGAUCUGAUGCAGAGUAGGGUUUAUCCCUCAAACCCAAUUGCACCCUUCCGAUUAACAUAUGUUUACAAUUAUCCAAACCCGAUUGAUAGCCCUCUUCUGAAAUAGUAACAGUUGUCUUGCCAUCUAAAAUCUCAGGAAUAGGUAGAUCAUCAAUUGGGAUGAAAGCUUGCGCCGCCGCCGCCGCAUAAGAUUUCGUCGGCUUCGCAGCCCCCUCGUCGAGAAAAGACCACGGGCAGAAGGGACGAUGCUGAACAGCCAUGACGUCGUGAAGCAAACGGAACUCGAAUUCAAGGAUUUACUGCAGGGAGGCUCCAGCACGGGGAAACCCUAGCAGAGCCAUCACCAACAUAAUGUAACUCGAUGCAUCACAUCCAUUAACACACUAUAGUCUUACCUUUUAAGUUGAGUCAAUGCAAGAGUUGCACUAUUUAGACCAUUUGGUUCUUCCGAAAAUAUGUAUUAUAUUUUUGAGAAUUUCAACGUCUGUAGUAGAGUCGACGAGGAUUUUAGAUUUGAUUUCGUCGAUGGCGUUGUCGAGCUAUUGCGUCAAUAGGAUGAUGAAGAGCAACCGGAAUCACCUCUCUUCUGACGCAAUUUGUUUUUCAAAGAUCUGGUCCGUUGCACUGGCCGGUCGAAGCCUUUUCAGUUCUCAAAACAGUUCAGAAACUACAGGUCUGAUAAUGAAAUGCAUAAAACAUUUAUAACUAUUGGUAAUUUAUAUCCUAGAGUUGUUCGAGUGUACUAACCACAGGAAAUAACGAUCUAGCUAGACUACCUUAUUUUCGUUAGGGCUGCUCUAAUUAGUCAACAUAUGCAGCUAGGUGAUGAUAAACUUACCCAAUUCGUUGUGAAAAUAAUUGAACCAUCAGUAGCCGUGAUAGUCCUUACGUACCUGCCCUUUCAUGAGCCUUAAUAUUUGGUGGCUUAUUAGCUACGCACUAAUGGUAGUUAAUUGUGCUUAUUUUGUGCAUGUGUGUUCUAAUACAAUUACCUACCUAGUUCUAAUUGUUCUAAUUCGUCGUGGAAUGUUUUCAGAGGAGAAAACUGAAUGGGGUAGCAUAGAGCCCUAUUACAAAAUAAUGUAUCUAUAACCUUCUCUAAUUUACAUAGUAAUUGACGCAAUUUGGCCGAACUGUUUCUGAACACACUGCUUCAGUUCUUUAUAAACCACGUACCAUAUGUAUGUAUUCAAGUGUCAGAUAUACUGAACCUACAUCGCCAAAAUGGAGAGAAUUCAGGUCAGUAUAAUUUCCAAACACACCGUCAAACCAUCAGCUUCCUCUUCACUACUUCGGGAUUGUCUAUGGUACAGCGCUGUAUGCCAUACAUCCUCUAACAGGACUUGUGUGCACGUGCCUUGCAGUGGGGGUGGGUGUUUUGUUUUGAAAUUUUUAGCCUUGAAAGCAGGCUGCAUAUCAUGCAGGGCUGCAGAUAGAAUUUUCCCUGAAUAUCACGCAUAUCAGCGCUGCAUGAUAUGUAUGAUUGUCUAUGGUACAACGCUGCAUAUCAUGCAGCGCUGCAUUAAAGCAGACUGCAUAUCAUGCAACGCUGCAGGAUAUGCAGCCUGCUUUCAAGGCUAAAAAUUUCAAAAUAAAACACCCCCACCUGCAAGGCACGUGCGACACAAGUCCUGUUAGAGGAUGUAUGGCAUACAACGCUGUACCAUAGACAAUCCCACUACCCUACUUCAGCCUUACAAGCUUACCCUGCUCGACCAGCUCACUCCUCCAUCGUAUGUCCCCAUGGUAUUCUUCUACCCCAUUACUGGCCCUGCAGUCUUCAAUCUUCAAACCCUAGCUGACUUAAGACAUGCCCUUUCCGAGACUCUCACUUUGUACUAUCCACUCUCUGGAAGGGUCAAAAACAACCUAUACAUCGAUGAUUUUGAAGCCGGUAUCCCAUACCUUGAGGCCCGAGUGAAAUGUGACAUGACUCAUUUUCUAAGGCUUCCAAAAAUCGAGUGCCUAAAUGAGUUUGUUCCAAUAAAACCAUAUAGUAUGGAAGCAAUAUCUGAUGAGCUUUACCCCUUGCUUGGAGUUCAAGUCAACAUUUUCGAUUCUGGGAUAGCAAUAGGUGUCUCCGUCUGUCACAAGCUCAUCGAUGGCCGAACGUCAUACUGUUUUCUCAAGUCCUGGGGUGCUGUUUUUCGUGGGUGUCGUGAUGAAAUCAUACAUCCUAAUCUCUCUCAAGCAGCAUUGCUUUUCCCACCGAGAGAUGACCUGCCUGAAAAGUAUAUAGCUUUGAUGGAAGGGUGGUCGAUUGCCGUAAAGAAAGUUGCUACAAGGAGAUUUGUAUUUGGUGCGAAAGCCAUAUCUGCAAUUCAAGAUGAAGCGAAGAGCGAGUCCGUGCCCAAGCCAUCACGAGUUCAGGCCGUCUCUGGUUUUCUCUUGAAACAUCUUCUCUCUGCUUCUCGGGCAUCAUCAUCAGGUAAAUCAGUUUAUGUGUCUUCUUAAAAGUGCACCACAUGCAAUUGCGUGAUUGGCAAAGGAGGGCUAGGCGUGAUUAAUUAAGCUAGAGAAGACAAGGUUUUUCCAUUAAUUGUUAGUGAGGCUUGCUCAAAUGCGAGCGUACAAGAGUUUUCAGUAGCUUUAUUUCUGCUGCUUAGGUUAUACCGGAUUUGUUUUGUAAGUUAGAAAAAUACAACUUAUUGGAUAUUGUUAUAAGCAUCUAAUUAAUGAUAUGAAUGAAAAAGAAAAAAGAUCGUACACUUAACAUUUUUCUGCUAUUAUUUCAUACUUAUUUUAUAUUUUUGUAUUACAUAUACUGUACAUAGCUUAAAAAUGAGAAAAUAUAUGAACUUUUGCAGGUACUACUUCAACAAAACUUUCUAUAGCAGCUCAGGUAGUGAACUUAAGAUCACAGAUGAACAUGGAGACAACGUUGGGUAAUGCCAUUGGAAACCUGAUGUGGUGGGCUCCGGCCAUACUAGAGUUAAAUCAUAAAGCACGAGAGAGCAGCGAUCCUAAGCUGUGUGACUUGGUUAUCUUGCUCAAUGAAUCUGUCAAACAAUCUAACAGUGAUUACUUCGACACUUUCAAGGGUAAAGAGGGAUAUGGAAGAAUGUGUGAGCAUCUAGAUAUGGAGGGGACUGUAAGUUCUGUAGAACCAGCACCAGAGAUAUAUUCAUUCUCGAGCUGGACUAGAUUUUUCGACCAAAUUGAUUUUGGAUGCAUGGGGGAGGUCAUCUUGGAUUGGAGUUACCGGAAAACAAUCUGCAUAUUGGAAUUCCACAGUUUUAGUACCAACACAAUGUGAUACUGGAAUUGAAGCGUGGGUGAAUCUAGAUGAAGAGAAAAUGGCUAUGCUAGAACAAGAUCCCCAGUUUCUAGCAUUAGCAUCUCCAAAGACCCUAAUUUCAAGGUAUUGAUUAUGAAAGAUUAUGUGGCUCGUGCAAUGUUUCCAUUUGCAGUGAAUAAGGAUUAAAUUAGUUCCCCGGCCAAUUAAUAAGAAGCAAGGUAUGAUAGACUAUGGCUACGUAUGUUAGUAUGUUAUCCGAAUGUGCUUCGUUAUGCUUUUAACCAAUAUAGCUCUGUUUUGUAACAAUGCUCUAUUGAGCUUCUAACUAUAGAGUUAUUUUUCUUGAUUAGAAAAAGAAACUAUGCAAGUUUUGUUUUGUUAAGCUAUUCUGUUUCUAAAAGAAAGGCUAUUCUGUUUCUAAAACGGGAUGCAUGUAUUACCUAAAAAGAUGAUUCACCUAUAAUUAUUUUUCAAGUAAAUGAUUAUUUGAUAGCAAUCACGCCGUGUAUUUCUAUAGCUAAAAUUGUAAUUUAGAUCAGUGACAACAUGAUUAAAAGUUACAUAUUCUGAUACAUUUGUUAUUUAACGACAAGUGUGGCCAUAAUGCCUCACCUAGUCACCUAAUGCGAAGACCUCUACGAGAGACUAAUGUCGUCUGAUCUUCUUUUCUUAAUCAAAAGAAACGAAAAUGGCCACAAUGCCUCACUAUUCAUAGAACCAUACAAUAAUUUGGAACAUAUGCAUGGAUGCAAAGAAAAAUAACACAAGAACCAUCAUAAUUUCACAUUAUAUGAGAAACUUAGCCAAAUCCGAAUCACAUCCAUGUUGGCCAAGAGUGACUAAAGAAGACCACCCAGAAAGCUAGAAAACCAUAAAAUCCAGAAAACUUGAAUAAGCUAGGGAAAAAACAAAAAUGUGACAUUCCAUUUCUUCUUGCGGUUUUGUUAGGCCAAAUCAAAAUCUCAAUGACCCUGCAAUCAUUUACACACACUCUUUCUCAAUCUCUGCAAAACUGACUGCUUCCCCUGAAAACUUGCGCAAUAGGGUACCUAGCUCUCUGGCCUUUUCUUUCUAAUGCACAAUUUAUGGCUUUUGGUAAUGAUGAUUUUAUGCUUGUGGAUCUCAGAUGGGUUUGUUUUGUUUUGGGAUUUUUAUAAAUGAAUGCAUUGAAAAUGUUGAAAGCUUAUGCCUUUGUUCCUUGGUUCAGUGUUCUGGUUUUGUGUACGUACGAGAGUUGAAAUGUGAUCUCUAGUAUCGGUAAAGAGAAAUGUUCUAACCAUGCUAGUGUUAGUAAUUUAUCUUCUAAAGUUGUUUGAGUACUUUACUCUCUUACUUUACUAACUAAGCAUAGGAAAUAACGACCUAAACUACCUGAUUUUCGUUAGUGCUUGUAAACACGAAAAUUCCUGUAACGAAUAACAGAAAGACAUGUGUACAAAAUAAUAUAUUUGUAUUGAUUGAAUUUGCGGGUUACAAUCUCUAUGGGUAUUCUUUUAACAAGAAUGUCCUCUGAUUCGAUCUCCGAUGUUGAUUUGAUCCAAGGGUGACAAGCACUUGAUCUUGAAUUGAACUGUUGUAGUUUGAACUUCUUAUUGUGUUGACGAUUUGUAGAAGGAAGUUGACCAAGGGCCAUAGAGGCUUGAUCUUGGUCGAAUAUGGGCCGCGAGAGGUGUCACGUGGUGAACGUUCUUCGACUUGAUAGCGGAUGAAUCGGCACGUGUGUUUGGUACUUGUUGAUUCUCCACGAGGUUGUUGAAGAACUUGGUAGAAGUUUUGAUUUGUUGAAAGACUUGAAGACGAGGGUUGAUCAAGGGCCGUAGAGGCUUGACGUUGAUCGAGUUUGGGCCGAGCAGUUCCACAUGGUGGUUGCUCUUCGUCUUGUAGUUGGUGAAGAUGUCAGCUAUUUGGCAACUUGGGACUCUUCGGGAUUUGACAACCUAUAGGCUUGAGGUUGAUGAAGAAUCAACUAUUUGGCAGCUUGAUGAUUCUUCAAGGGUUUUGGGAGAAUUCUAAACUCUCGGGAGUAAUUUUUCUCUCUUGUCUGAAAGUCGUCCUCUUGAUAUGAGAGGGGGUAUUUAUAGUGUUAAUGCUCCUCCGUAAAUGGAAUGCAUUGAAGUCACAGCUUUAAUUAUAUUUCCUUAAUGAUAUAAUUAAAUCAAUCACUUUUGAUUGAUUGAUUCAAUUAUUCAAUUUCCCAUAAUUAAAUCAAUCAGUCUUAAUUGAUCGAUUUAGUUAUGAUCGAUAAGGUAUUUCACUAAUUUGAUUAAAUUCCGACUUCCUUUUCGAUAAUUGAUUUGAUUUGAUUGAUGUUUGAUUAUCGAUUGACAUUUAAUAUUUUAUUUUAGUUGGGAUUGAUGAUUUUGUUGUCGACCGACCAUUCACACGCCGCCACGUGUUAUUUUCGAAGACUUUUCAACUUUGCUGACUCACGAGCCACGUAUGCACGAGACUUUUCAACGUCUCUAAUUUACAUAGUAAUUGACGCAAUUUGGCCGAACUGUUUCUAAACACACUAAGCUUCAGUUCUAUAUAUACCGCGUACCACAUGUUUCAUCAAGUGUCAGAUAAUACAGAACCUACUUCGCCAAAAUGGAGAAAAUUGAGGUCAGUAUAAUUUCCAAACACACCAUCAAACCAUCAACUUCCUCUUCACCACUUCAGCCUUACAAGCUUACCCUGCUCGACCAGCUCACUCCUCCAUCGUAUGUCCCCAUGGUAUUCUUCUACCCCAUUACUGGCCCUGCAGUCUUCAAUCUUCAAACCCUAGCUGACUUAAGACAUGCCCUUUCCGAGACUCUCACUUUGUACUAUCCACUCUCUGGAAGGGUCAAAAACAACCUAUACAUCGAUGAUUUUGAAGAGGGUGUCCCAUACCUUGAGGCUCGAGUGAACUGUGACAUGAAUGAUUUUCUAAGGCUUCCGAAAAUCGAGUGCCUAAAUGAGUUUGUUCCAAUAAAACCAUUUAGUAUGGAAGCAAUAUCUGAUGAGCGUUACCCUUUGCUCGGAGUUCAAGUUAACAUUUUCAACUCCGGAAUAGCAAUCGGGGUCUCCGUCUCUCACAAGCUCAUCGAUGGAAGAACUUCAGACUGUUUUCUCAAGUCGUGGUGUGCUGUUUUUCGUGGUUCUCGUGACAAAAUCAUACAUCCUAAUCUCUCUCAAGCAGCAUUGCUUUUCCCACCAAGAGAUGACUUGCCUGAAAAGUAUGCCCGUCAGAUGGAAGGGUUAUGGUUUGUCGGAAAAAAAGUUGCUACAAGGAGAUUUGUAUUUGGUGCGAAAGCCAUAUCUGUAAUUCAAGAUGAAGCAAAGAGCGAGUCCGUGCCCAAGCCAUCACGAGUUCAGGCUGUCACUAGUUUUCUCUGGAAACAUCUAAUCGCUACUUCUCGAGCACUAACAUCAGGUAUGUAAAAUCAGUUUAGCAACAAGCCAAAUACUAAAGCAACUAAAUAAAAACCUAUUGUAUUUGGGGUAGUCCCUUAUUAGCUGUUGUCCUAAACUUCUAACGAUAUGAACUUUUUUCUCAAAAGAAAAAAAUAGUACACUUAACAUUUUCUGUUAUAAUUUCAUACUUAUUUAUAUAUUUUUAUUACAUACAUAGCUCAAAGAAUGAGAAAAUAUAUGAACCUGCAGGUACUACUUCAACAAGACUUUCUAUAGCAACCCAGGUAGUGAACAUAAGAUCACGGAGGAACAUGGAGACAGUGUGGGAUAAUGCCAUUGGAAACUUGAUAUGGUUCGCUCCGGCCAUACUAGAGCUAAGUCAUACAACACUAGAGAUCAGUGAUCUUAAGCUGUGUGACUUGGUUAACUUGCUCAAUGGAUCUGUCAAACAAUGUAACGGUGAUUACUUUGAGACUUUCAUGGGUAAAGAGGGAUAUGGAAGCAUGUGCGAGUAUCUAGAUUUUCAGAGGACUAUGAGUUCUAUGGAACCAGCACCAGAGAUUUAUUUAUUCACGAGCUGGACUAAUUUUUUCAACCAACUUGAUUUUGGAUGGGGGAGGACAUCAUGGAUUGGAGUUGCAGGAAAAAUUGAAUCUGCAUUUUGCAAUCUCAUAACAUUAGUUCCAACACCAUGCGAUACUGGAAUUGAAGCGUGGGUGAAUCUAGAAGAAGAAAAAAUGGCUAUGCUAGAACAAGAUCCCCAGUUUCUAGCACUAGCAUCUCCAAAGACGCUAAUUUCAAGAUAUUGAUUAAGGAAGAUUAUGCGGCUCGUGCAAUGUUUCCAUUUUGUUGUGAUUAAGGCUUAAAUUAGUUCACCAGCCAAUCAAUAAGAUGCAAGUAUGAUAGACUCGGUCUACGUAUGUUAUCCGAAUGUGUUUCCACAUGCUUGUAACCAAUAUAGCUCUUGUUUGUAACAAUGCUCUAUUAAGCUCUUCUAUCCAUAAAGUUAUUUCUCUAUUAAAAAGAAAACUAUACAAGUUUUGUUAAGUUUUUAAGGUAAGAUGCAUGUAGUACCCAAAAAGAUGGUUGACCUGUCAUUAUUUUCAAGUACAUGAUUAUCCGAUACAAUUACAUCAAAUAUUUCUAUAGCUAAAAAGUAUGUAAUUUUGAUCCGUGACAACAUGAUUAAAAAGUUAUAUAUUAUGAUGCAUUUAUCCUCUAACGACAAGCAUGGUCAUAAUGUCUCACCUCAUCACCUCACCAAGCGCGGAUCCAGUUCACAAGUGGGUAAGGCUCAAGCCCAACCAAGAAAAUUGGGGGAAAAAAAAACCUAAGUAUAGAUAUAUAUUUUUUUGGGUGAUAUAUCAUAUAUGCCCAGCCAUCAAGUGACCAAGCCCAACCCACCUAACUCAACCCAUCCCACUAACUACCCAAGUCCACAAUCAUCACUCAUCACUCAUCCACCCAACCUCCUUCAUCGAAGGAGUCCUUUAACUAAUCAGCUUAAACACCAAGUCUAAAAGUCUUCCCUGCUCUUCCCCUCCGCCUCCACUCAGUCACUCACCUAUGACCUAUCCCGGCUAUCCGGCUAUCCCUCUUCCCCUCCAGUCCUCCACGGCUCCACCAUAAUCUCCUUCUUCCCGGCCUCCUCCGGUCCUCCGAUUCCUCCCGGAUAGCGACGACUCGCCUCCGGCGGUCCGGACCUCCGCGGCUCCGCCUCCAGUCCUCCACUCACCUAUCCCUCUUCCAGCUGCUAGAAAGCUUGUUCGAGACUUGGUCCUCCACAGACAACCCAUUAGUCCAUUACCCAUCUUUCUUCACUCUCAGCCAGCAUGGUUGUACUAGAAAUUUUUUUUUGGCCUUCGGCCAAAGUUCAAGCCCACCCCAUCUUUAAAUCAUGGAUCCGCCACUGCACCUCACCAUAGUGUCCUAUCCUCUUAGGAGAAGGUAGGCACCUAAUGCAAAGGCCUUUAUGAGAGACUAAUAUCGUCUGAUCUUCUUUUCUUAAUCAAAAGAAAUGAAAAUGGCCACAAUGCCUCACUAUUCAUAGAGCCAUACAAUACUCUGGAACAUAUGCAUGGAGACAAAGAAAAAUAACACAAGAACCAUUAUAAUUUCACUUUAUACGGGAAACUUAGCUAAAUCCGAAUCAUGGGCGGAGCCAACCCAGGUGAAAUUUUGAAGCCCAAAAAAUUACCUGAAACAUCGUCGUUUGGGUGUAGGUUAUUUCUCCGUUUACUUCUUCUCAAUCUUAGUCAUAACUCACACCAUUGCGUCCGUAGCCCGUCGUUGUCGCUAGAGCGGUCGCCAUUUCCCAUAGCCCGCGCCGUCGCCCGUAGACCACAUCCCGAGUCAGUCAGUCCCCACUUGGCUACUUCCCCAGGUAUGGCUCAAUCGGAUUGCUUAUAUUCUGAUCGUGGACAUAGCAGGCUUCAAUUCAAAAGCCAUCAUAUUCAUAUGCUUCAAUGUUGCUUUACUUCGUCUAUAACUAGAGUUUCAGCUUUGCUUCGUCUUCAAUGUUGAUAUGUUGAUAUAAAAUAUUAACUUGAUUAGGAUUUGUUGAUAUAGAAUAUUACCUUGAUUAGGAUUUGUUGUUAUGUAAUAUGUAUUAGGAUAUUUAUUACUCAUAUUAGGAUUUGUUAUAUGAUCUUACAUCCUUACGAAUGAAUAUACAUCAACACAAUCGAAAUCUGCAUGGUCAUAUUAGCCUUAACUAGUUCAGUCCAAUUCAUAUUAGUCUUAAACUAGUUCAGUCUAAUUCCUCAUGGGUAUAUGCUGAACUUUAAGAUGUUGAUCUUCUAUAAUAACUGAGUUCGAUACCAGAAAUCUUUGAUGAUUGUCCACAUAUGUUAUCUUAUAAUCCUAUAUUAAUUUGUACUAAUCUCAUAGUCUUAAUUUGAAAGCUCCUUAUACGUCUUAACUUGGAUAUGGAUGUGGAUUUGAUCUUAUUAUAUGUAAUAUUAAAGUGAAGUUGUUGUAUUACACAGAAUGUUUGAUGAAUAAAUAACAAAUUGAUCGCGUCAAAAGGCUAGAUCAAAAAAUUUCUUGCACCAUCGAACAAAUUUUCUUGUGUAUACAAUUUCAUGGUUCCGCCACAUUGGCAACAAAGAGUGAUUGGAAAAGAAGAACACCCAGAAAGAUAAAAACCAUAAAACUUGUUUAAGCGAAAAAAACAAAAGUAUGCCAUUCAUUUCUUCUUGCGGUUUUGUUAGGCCAAAAAUCAAAAUCCCAUGAUACCCAAUCAGUUACACACUCUCCCUCUCAAUCUCUACAGAACUGACUGCUUCCCCUGAAAACUUGCGCAAUAAGGUACCCAUCUCUCUGGCCUUUUCUUUGUAAUGCAUAUAAGUUCCUGUAAAUUUUAAAGCUUUUGGAAUGAUGAUUUUAUGCUUGUGGAUCUCAAGAUGAGUUUGUUUGUUUUUUUCGGGAUUUUUAUAAUGAAUGCAUUGAAAAUGUUGAAAGCUUAUGCCUUUGUUCCUUGGUUCAGUGUUUUGGUUUUGUAUACGAGAGUUGAAAUGUGAUCUCUAGCUUGACUGUUGGUAUUGGUAAAGAGAAAUGUUCUAGAAAACCAUGCUAGUAUUAGUAAGUUAUCUUCUAAAGUUGUUCGAGUACUGUACUAAGCAUAGGAAAUAACGACCUAAGCUACCUUAUUUUCGUUAGUGCUAGCUGCUAUGAGAAACUUACCCAAUUCGUUGUUAAAAAUAGGGAAAAUACCCAAAUACUCAAAAAUUAGAAAGCUAAAACCCAUUCCAAUGAAAUUAUAAUCCUUUAGCUCAUUCCUAUGUUACACCGAUACUCCACCCCACGGACACUCCAACACUCCCGACACACCGAUAUCGAUACGAUACACCAAAAUGUGUGUCCGACACGCCACGUGGCGUGUCAAAAAAAGUUGACUUUUUAGACACGUUACGUCAGCCUGAGACACGCCAAGUCAGUGUGUAUUGAUUGAAAAAAAAAAAUACAGAACUAAAAGUCUAAAACCUAAUCGAAGAGGAAGCCCACUUUAAAGAAGCCGCAUAGAAGAGGAACGAUGUCACCGUUCACUAUCACUGCGAGAACGACGUCGUCUGUCCAUGUCAGUGUGAUUGUUCCUCCGAUGACACCACUCUGCGAGAACGACGAGAACAGCGUCGCCUUUCUCUGUUACAGCGACUCGUCCUCCGUCGGCCUAAACCCUCUCUUUAGUGUAAGGUUAAUCUUAAUCUCAGCUUUGACGUGUUUGGUGAUUGCAGUCUCAUUUGCAGUAACAGAAAAGCAUAUAAGAUUUUAAUCAUUUUAUGAUCAUUCUGAUACCACUUAUAGAUUUUUAAGGCAAUGUGCUAUUGAAGCAUCUGCACUGUGAUGUUAAGUGUCAUGAUAUUGCUCAAUUGCUGAUAGGGUAGGAUGGAGCUAGACAUUUGAGACUUUGCAAAAUUGAGUUUAUACCUACUAGUAUUAGAUCAUCAAUUAGUUGAGAGUUUGUAGGAGGUCAGGUUUUAUACUUGGUGAGAAACAUCGGCUCAUCUGUAUUUGUAAGGAAGAUUUAAUUGAAAGGAGUUGUGUAUGGAUUGCUUAUUUGUUUAUCUUUGCUCUGUUAAUUGUUAAUAUGUUAUGAUAUGCUGCUGUGUCUAUGCUGAUGUGCUUAUGCUACUGUGUGUCUAUGCUACUGUGUCUAUGCUAUUGUCUUAUGUUGUUUUGUUGGAUUAUUAUGAUUAGGAUGAGUUCAAGUGCGACAUCUACUGAACCUAGUGUUGAAUCAACUAAGCCUGAAAAAUUAGAUGCUCCUCUAUCAAGGAUAAAGGAUGAUGCCAAUGCAUGCGUGCCUUGCUCUUAUGUAUUUUGAAUAUCUCAGUUAUGGGGUUUUAGGCAGUUGGUGUUAUUAUAGGGUUAGGAAAGUCGGAUUUUCAUUCAGUUUGAUGAAUGUGUUGAAUUAGAUAAAACUAUUUAGUAAUCAUCCUUUAGAUUAAAUAUUGACUCUCUUUUAUGUUAUUUGUUACAGUUAUGCAAUUGCUUAAAUUUAGAGCAUUAUUUAAGCAAUGUGAUAAAUUUAUUCAUAUUUGAGCAUUUUUUUAUUAAUUAGAAAUAUACAAAUAAGUAAUUAUAUUUGCCGUGUCUAAGCCGUGUCGAAAAUGUAGUCUUUGAGUUUUGCCGUGUCGCCGUGUCAGUACGUAUCGUGUCGCCGUAUCCGUGUCCGUGUCCAUGUAACAUAGGCUCAUUCCAAUGAUUCUUAUGCAAAAGACAUUAUUANNNNNNNNNNNNNNNNNNNNCUCUCUCUCUCUCUCUCUCUCUCUCUCUCUCUCCUCUCUCUCUCUCUCUCUCUCUCUCUCUCUCUCUCUCUCUCUCUCUCUCGGUGUACGACGAUGCAAGGUUGAAGACGCAGCCUCCUACUGAGUCGACGAGACCGCGCUCGUGGUCGUGAUUCUCCUCAACAGCGACAUCGAUUUUGGCGGCACCUCUCGGAGAUGAUCCUCAUCUGCCAGAACCUCUGCAACAAUCUCUAGAGCCCUAACGAGCACAUCCGGGGCGUCACGCUCCAGUUCCUCUACUGGUUGAGCAAGUUGGAGAUUGUCCGGCCGUUGAUUUCAUCGAUUUUGGCCAAUCUAGUCAGAGAUUGAGGUCUGUGUUUAGUGCAAACAUGGAUAACGUUCUUCUUCUCCUUUUUUUAUCGGAGAUCGUGUUUUUGUUUUUGUUUUGGUCAGAGAGAUUGUGGUUUUUUCCCCUUUUUUUUUCAAUAUAAUGGUUAUUAAAUGAUAGUAUCUUGAUUAUUGGAGUAAUUAGUCUAUUAUUGGGAGGUAAGAAGUAUCUAGUGGAGGUCAAUAAACAUUUAUUGACCCCAAUAUUGCUUUUAUAAAUUUUUUUUGAGAUGUAGGGAUUUGCCUUAGAGGUAAAAACUUCCUUUUUAACUCGAUUACUAGGAAUCAUUAACUGAUUAUUGAGGUUAAGUAACUGAUUAUUGAGGGUCAGUAAGUGAUUAUUGGGGUUCAGUAACUGAUUAUUGGGGGUUAAUAACUGAUUAUUGGGGGUCAUUUUGAGAGUCAGUAACCGAGUUAUUGGUGAUCAGAAUCCAGCAACCGGAAAAAAUCUGAGUUACUGGGGGUCAGUAACUAAGUUACCGGUUAUCGGAAUCAGGCGACCGGAGAAAAUAUGAGUUACUAGGAGUCAAUAACGGCGACCGAAGAAAUUUCUGGCAACCGGGGACCGGAAUCCGGCGACCGGCAACCAGAGUCCGGCGGCGGGUGACCGGAGUCCGGUGAGAUUCCGGCCAAGUAUUCUCUCUCUUCCACUUUCUCUCUCUAUACAUGUUGAAGUGGUGAGAGUAAAAUUGUCUUAAAAAUAUAUAAAAAUUAUUUUUUAUUAUAACAUUAGUAAAGAUUUGUGCAUAAAAAAUGUUACCUUAUAUUGGAAUGAGCUCAUGAAAAAGAUUAACAUUAAAAUGGGGAAUAAGAGGUUUAAAUUAGUAUUAAAUUGACAUUUUCCCUUUAAAAUAAUAACAGAACCAUCAAUGCCGUGAUAGUCCCUUAAUAUUUGGUGGCUAAUUAGUAAUGCAUUCAUGGUAGUUGUGCUUAUUUUGUGCAUGUAUUCUAAUUCUAUCACUUGCAAAAUCGUUGUGGAAGGUUAAGAGGAGAAAACAGAAAAUGGGGCAGCAUGCAUCUCAUUUUAUUUCCGAUCAUAUUUUCAUAUCAUAGACGUUCACUAUUUAGAUAUACAUGAGUUGAUCAUCUCUACAAAAUUUCAACUAAUUUAGUUAUCAUUAAGGUAUCGAAAAUGUAUUAAAUCAAUGAACGAACCGAAUCUGUUCAUCCUGAACUGUACGUUCUAUUAGUUCUAAAUCACAGUUUUGAAUGUCUUAAUGAUUAUCAACUUGGCUGAAAAUUUAUAUAGAUGAUCUACUGAUAUAUAUACCUAAAAUAUGAACGGUUGAGAUGAGAAAAUAUGAUCGAAAGUGGGACAAAUAAUGAAAUCCGUACCUUAGAUAAGGUAAGGAGGUCCUUACCUGAUCAAGAUUGUGUGUGUGUGUCUAUAGAGUUUAGGGUUUAGAGUUUUAGGGUGUCAUGAAGAUAUCAUACAUCCUAAUCUCUCUGAAGCAGCAUUGCUUUUCCCACCGAGAGAUGACUUGCCUGAAAAGUAUGCCGGUCAGAUGGAAGGGUUAUGGUUUGCCGGAAAGAAUGUUGCUACAAGGAGAUUUGUAUUUGGUGCGAAAGCCAUAUCUUCAAUUCAAGAUGAAGCGAAGAGCGAGU